AUGCUAGCGUGGAGAUUGUCACAAAACUGGGGACUAGCUCGCUGCACUGCAUUGCGCGGGUUUGCGUGUGGGUUUGCGCCUCUGUGCUCCUAUGAGCAGUAUUUCGGUCCGGGCACCAGGCUCACGGUCUUAGAGGACCUGAGCAAGGUGAGCCCACCCAAGGUCACCUUGUUUGAGCCAUCAGAAGCAGAGAUCAUCGACAAACAAAUGGCUACCCUCGUGUGCCUGGCCAGGGGCUUCUACCCUGACCAUGUGGAACUGAGCUGGUGGGUGAAUGGGAAGGAGCUCCGCAGUGGAGUCAGCACAGACCCUCAGCCCUCCAAGGAGACCAAUAACAUCACCUACUGCCUGAGCAGCCGCCUGAGGGUCUCUGCAACCUUUUGGCACAAUCCUCGCAACCACUUCCGCUGCCAAGUCCAGUUCUAUGGGCUUACAGCUGAAGAUGAGUGGGACAAGCCCUCGCCCAAGCCUGUCACCCAGAACAUCAGUGCAGAGGCAUGGGGCCGAGCAGACUGUGGCAUCACCUCAGAAUCCUAUCGCCAGGGGGUUCUUUCUGCCACCAUCCUCUAUGAGAUCCUACUGGGGAAGGCCACCUUGUAUGCUGUGCUCGUCAGCGCCCUGGUGCUGAUGGCCAUGGUCAAGAAAAAAAAUUCCUGAGACCAACUCUUGUGCAUCCUGGGUUGUUCACGAUCCUAGUCCUGGAUUCUCCUGCACCUUCUCCAAUCCCUGUUCUUCCGGAGUUGUUCUUUAUUCAAAGCAUCUCUUCUUCCUCCAUGGAUAUCUGUCCUUCCUUGCCACUACCCAAAGACUGACCUCUUGACUCUGAAGCAGACUAAAUCAAUAAAAAAUGUUGAGCUGGG